UUUGAAUGAAAUAUUCUAGUGUCAGACUUAACGUCGCAAGAUUUUCCAUUCUUGUUCUAUUACAGAUAUUACACUGUAAUAUUUUUCGUCAUACUAGAUUCAUUAUGAAGCAAAUUAUUAGCCAGUUCAGUAACAUUGCACGUGCAAUCCGUGAUAACGCUUUUCGUUUUAUUACAUUUCAAAAGUAUUUUACCUCGAUAUUUAUAAAUAUGCAUCAAAUCAGCUUACAAGUUAAGCCUUGUAAUAUAAUGUUAAUUCGUUUCGCCGAAUACGACAUCAAUCCUGUUGAUGUGGUUGUUGUAUAACAGGGGUGGCCAACCUUUUUGGGAAGAGUGCCACUAUCUGAAGAAAAAAAUUAUGCGUGCAACUUUCAACUUUUCCAACAUACUAAAAAAUAUAAAUAGGUAAAAAAAUAUUAUUUAUAGGCUGAUUAUGGGAUUUUUACGCAAAGAGCACAUUUUUUCAUGUAAUUCUGAGUACUGGAG
rnacentral:lncRNA from 1 species